rnacentral:ncRNA from 1 species
AGAAAAGCGAAGAACGGAAAGAGUAUCUGAAAGAGGAACCACAGAGAGGGACAGUCACUGGCUGGAAGCAGUCCCGGGGAAUCGUCGGUGAAGUGCAUCCGGGAGCUGAUACGGUGAAAGAGAGUAGCCGGAUCCGCAGGCAGGCGUUAAGGGCAGAAAGUGGAAGACGGAUCCGGAAGAUACGUCUUCAAAAAGAGUGGAACCACGGAUGACUUCGUCUCUUAU